UGCGGAAGGAUCAUUAAAGAUUAUGAAUGAAUAGAUUGCUGGGGGAAUCGUCUGAACAAGGCCUGCGCUUAAUUGCGCGGCCAAUUCUUGAUUCUCUGCUAUCAGUUUUCUAUUUCUCAUCCUAAACACAAUGGAGUUUUUUCUCUAUGAACUACUUCCCUGGAGAGCUCGUCUCUCCAGUGGACAUAAACACAAACAAUAUUUUGUAUUAUGAAAAACUAUUAUACUAUAAAAUUUAAUAUUCAAAACUUUCAACAACGGAUCUCUUGGUUCUCGCAUCGAUGAAGAACGCAGCGAAUUGCGAUAUGUAUUGUGAAUUGCAGAUUUUCGUGAAUCAUCAAAUCUUUGAACGCACAUUGCGCCCUCUGGUAUUCCAGGGGGCAUGCCUGUUUGAGCGUCAUUUCUCUCUCAAACCUUUGGGUUUGGUAGUGAGUGAUACUCGUCUCGGGUUAACUUGAAAGUGGCUAGCCGUUGCCAUCUGCGUGAGCAGGGCUGCGUGUCAAGUCUAUGGACUCGACUCUUGCACAUCUACGUCUUAGGUUUGCGCCAAUUCGUGGUAAGCUUGGGUCAUAGAGACUCAUAGGUGUUAUAAAGACUCGCUGGUGUUUGUCUCCUUGAGGCAUACGGCUUUAACCAAAACUCUCAAAGUUUGACCUCAAAUCAGGUAGGAGUACCCGCUGAACUUAAGCAUA
rnacentral:rRNA from 1 species